UCUUUAUUUUAAUAAAUUGUUAUUAAGUGUUUCACUUAGGCUGGAUUAGGAUUUUGUAAGUCCAGUCCAGUUUUGAGUCAGUAUCUUUUAUUAUUUCAGUUUCCUAGUCAGUUUAUAUUACCUACUUAGUUAAAGAUUGGGUUAGGUCUUUCUUUUUUAGUGUUUGAGUUUUUUUUUAGUCUUCUAUAUAAGUUUGUAAGGGGGUCCAGCAUUGGACACGAACUUUGAUUAAUG